UAAAGAAUUGCUGUUUGAAUCUACAAGCUGUGAGUGGCUCGUGAUCUUGUGCCCAGCCAAGACUGCAGCAUACUAGGACUUCAGUCCCUUCUCUUUUGAUUUGCAGCCAUGAAUAAAUGGCCUCUGCCACCAACCACAUGCUCUUGCCAUGAUGUACUGUGCCACCACAGGGGCCAGUCAGCAAUGGGGCCAAUUAGUCAUGGACUGAAACAUACAAAACUGUGAGCCAAAAUAAACUUCUCAUUUUUUGUUGAUUUAUCACAGAUAUUUGCUGUAGUAACAGAAAGCUGACUAAUAUAACACAUAAAAUAGUUUUUGUUUUGGGAUGUUUUAUUGUGCAGCAAUAAACAAAUGGAACAAUGCAGUUUAAAAAUGUUUUAACUAGAGCAUUCUUUUGAAAGUCUUUGUUGACAUUAUCCCUUCAUUGCAAGAGUAACACUUGUGCAUUGUGCCACCUAUGCAUUAUGUCACAAAUAAAGCAUUGUUUAGGGUGAGAACAUUGUCCUACUUUUUUUUUCUUUUUGUAGCUUCAGUAUGUAGCAUAUUGCUUGGCCUUCUAGAGGCUUGAUGAAAAUUUAAUGAGUUAAUACUUCUCACUUCCUUUCUUCCAUCUUUUAUAUUACUGUCCUUCCAUUCUUAUUAAAAAGAAGGCUAAACCCUAGAAUUCUGGAAUGAUGCUCUAGGAAUUGAGCUCCCACUGCUCUAGAGGCCUGGGGAGGAUAGUGCCUCAUGGAUGGGCUGGCCAGGGCUCAGGCAGAGGGCUGCUACCUUCACCUGAUUCCAAGUUCCUGCAAAUACCUUCCUUGAUUGAAGGUGAGACUGUGACUUUAUAAGAAUGAACUCUGAUUAAUACUUUCAAGGUUAACAUCUUUAAGGCAUUGUGUGGGCUUUGGUAAUACAGCAGCUGAACUACAAUGUUCUGAGGAAUUUGGAGGGGGAGAAAUCUCUGAAUACCAAUAGGUUAUCUGGCCUUGGGCAUGUCCUCCCCUCUCUGGCUCAGAUUCUUCCUUGAGUCUCCUUAGCCAAAGCACAAUUAGGAAAAACCUGAGGUAAUCAGAGUGGGCUCUGGCAAUGCCCCAAUAUGCCAGGGACAAAUGCACCCCUGUAAUGUUUCAAAUUCUUUAGAAAAUGUGGGCGGACACUAUGGAAAGAGAAAGUUACAAAACAGCACAGAGCGUUCCCUGUUUGAAAUUUUAUCCAGCCUCUCUCUGGAACCAAGUUGGGGAAGGCUGUUUGCCAAUGUGUUAUCUGUGGUUAUCUGAGGGGGCAGGAAGAAAUUAUUCUGGGUAAUUUUUAUUUUAUUUUUGGCAUGCUUCCAAGCAUUCUUCAAUAAACAUCUAUUACUUUUCAUAAUCAAGAAAUUAAAAAACAUUUUUAAAAGCAGGCUGUUUGGCACACAUCCUUUGUCAUUUUUUGCUAAGCACAUAAAUUGCUUCUAAAUAGAAGUAAAAAAGAGAGGAAUCAUCCAUGCAGCCUUGUAGGUAGAGAUUGUGGGAGUUAUUUAACUUAUUAGUUGUUUACUGCUGUAUAACAAAUCAUCACAAAUUUAAGUGGCUUUAAACAGCAAAAUUUCUGUGGGUUGAGAGAACAGGCAUGCUGUAGCCAAAUCCUCUGUUAAGAAACUCAAGGGGCUGGGGUUGUGGCUCAAUGGUAGAGCACUUGCCUAGCAUGUGUGAGGCACUUGGUUCAAGUCUCAACACCACAUAUAAAUAAAUAAAAUAAAGAUCCAUCAACAACUUAAAAAAAAAAGAAACUCAAGCUGUUGGGCCAGGCUGUCUUUAUCUGGCGGUAUGAAUAAUACUGUGGUUUGAAUGUGUCCCCCCAAAGUUUAUAUAUUAUAAAUUUAAUCCCCAAAGCUAUAUGCUAAUGGUAUUUGAGGGUAGGGCCUUUGGAAGAUAAUUAGGAUUAGAUGAGGUAAUGACCCCCAUGAUAGCAUUAGUUGUUUUAUAUGAGGAAGAGAAAUCUGAGAUAGCAGAUUUGCUGUACCUUGUCAUAUGAUACCUUCUGCCAUGUUAUGAUGCAGAAAGAAGGCUUUACCAGAUGUCAAGCAGAUGCUAGCACCUUACUUUUGACUCUCCAGUUUCUGAGACUAUAAGAAAUCAAUUUUCUUAAAAUUACCCAGUUUCAGGCAUUUUAUUGUAGCAUCAGAAAAUGGAAAGAAAAAUGAGGAAGACUCCACUUCCAUGUUCACUCUAGUUGUUGUCAGAAUUCAGUUCCCUGUAGCUAUAGGAGAGAGGGCCCCAACUUACUGCUGUUCUUUGGUUGAAAGCUACUCUCAGCUCCUGGAGGCCACCCAGUUUCUUUUCCACAUGGGCUUUCCAAAAAGGCCACUUUCUGCCAAAACCAUCAGGGAAAACCUCUAUAACAAGUGUGCUAACACAAUGACAUCUUGUCUUAUUGAGUUAUACUCAUAGCGUGAAGUACCAUUGCCUUUACAAGACACAAGUGGCUGAAACAAAUUACAAGUCUCACUUACCUUGAAGUGAGAUUACAAAGAUUACAAGAAUUACAAAGGUAUUAUUCAUGUGAUGGGCUGAAUGUUUUGGUCAUUCCAACAGUCAUAUUGAAGCUCUAAUCCCUUGUAUGACUGUAUUUGAAGAUGUAGCCUCUAAGGAAGUAAUUAAGUUUAAGUGAGGUCACAAGGGUGGGGCCCUGAUCAAAUAGGAUAGCAUCCUUGUAAGGAUAUAUAACAGAGAAUUCUCGUUUUCUCAUGUACAUGUACUGAGGAAAGCUCAUGUGAAGAUACGUUGAGAAGACCUUCAGGAAGAAAACCCUCACCCAGAAACCAAAGUGACUGGUCACCCUGACCUCAAACGUCCAAGAUCAAGAACUGUCAACUGGCAUGAGUGGCAUCCAAGGGCCUCAGCCCACAAGAGAAAUGGACUGUGAUAUGUUUUCCUGUCACCAGCAUUCCUGAGAGUGGUAGGGGAGCAUCCUAUCCAAAGGUUGAAGACUAGUCACCUGGAAUCCAAGAAUCUUCAAAUGGUAACUCUGAAUAUAAAAGACUUCAUUAC